rnacentral:rRNA from 1 species
GAUGAACGCUGGCGGCGUGCUUAACACAUGCAAGUCGAACGGAAAGGCCCUGCUCUUGUGGGGUGCUCGAGUGGCGAACGGGUGAGUAACACGUGAGUAACCUGCCCUUGACUUUGGGAUAACUUUAGGAAACUGGGGCUAAUACCGGAUAGGAGCUCCUGCUGCAUGGUGGGGGUUGGAAAGUUUCGGCGGUUGGGGAUGGACUCGCGGCUUAUCAGCUUGUUGGUGGGGUAGUGGCUUACCAAGGGUUUGACGGGUAGCCGGCCUGAGAGGGUGACCGGCCACAUUGGGACUGAGAUACGGCCCAGACUCCUACGGGAGGCAGCAGUGGGGAGUAUUGCACAAUGGGCGGAAGCCUGAUGCAGCGACGCCGCGUGCGGGAUGACGGCCUUCGGGUUGUAAACCGCUUUCGCAUGUGACGAAGCGUGAGUGACGGUAAUGGGUAAAGAAGCACCGGCUAACUACGUG